GAAUGGCGGGCAGCGGCCGGGAAUGGCGGGCAGCGGCCGGGAGCGGCGGCUUUUCCCGUGCCCUCGUCCCCUCAGCGGCCGCCCCGGGCUGAGGCGGCGGAGCGGGAGCGGGGCUGGGGCCGCCCGGGCGCCUCGGGGAGGCUUCAGCUCCUCCUGUUUAUUUCGAAAUGUUUUCUUGUGUCUGAACUGUCCCCCAUCCCCCUUUUUUCCUCUUUCUGAUGGAAAUAAGUGCCAGUGUGCCCUCGUUCCGAAUAGUUGUUAAAAAUAGCCCAUCAAACUGGAGUAAACCACCGUCUCCGGUGUCUGCAGACAGAAGUGAACUGACAAAUUUUGGCAUUUUUAGUUCCAAACAAGAUGAAGAUCCCCUCUUUGCUGCUGAGAUUCCCUCGUUGUUAUUUCUCCAGAAGAACUUACUUCAUGAACUUUCGCUUCGCUUCCCGGGCAGAUUUCCUGGGUGUUGAGUCUCUUGGGCCAGCACACGGCUGUCAUACAAAAUGGAUUUGUUCAUCAGAUGCUUUGAGGAGAGAGCUGUGCCAGCAAGCAGCCCCUGAGCAGCAAGCAGAGGCACUUUCUGACCGGGAGCAGAGACUUGUAGACAGACUUUACCAUGGGCUCAUCCAGGGGCACAGAGCCUGUUUAGCCGAAGCCAUUACACUCAUAGAAUCAACUCAGAGUAGGAAGAAGAAAGUAGCCCAGGUGCUCCUUCAGAAGGUGUUAUCCUACCACAGGGAGCAAGAAAAGUUGAAUCAAGGAAAGCCGCUUGCCUUCAGAGUGGGCUUGUCUGGUCCUCCUGGUGCUGGAAAGUCGACCUUCAUAGAAUGCUUUGGGAAGAUGCUUAUGGAAAGAAACCACAAAGUGUCUGUGUUGGCUGUAGACCCUUCCUCUAGUACCAGUGGUGGUUCCCUACUGGGUGAUAAAACACGGAUGACUGAGUUGUCAAGAGACAUGAAUGCAUACAUCAGACCAUCUCCAACCAGUGGGACACUGGGAGGUGUCACAAGGACCACAAAUGAAGCCAUUCUGCUCUGUGAAGGAGGAGGCUACGAUGUUGUUCUUGUGGAAACAGUAGGUGUGGGCCAGUCAGAAUUUGCUGUGGCUGAUAUGGUUGAUAUGUUUAUAUUACUGCUACCACCUGCGGGUGGAGAUGAAUUACAGGGCAUCAAACGGGGCAUCAUUGAGAUGGCAGACCUGGUUGCUAUCAAUAAGGCCGAUGGUGAUUUAGUUGUGCCAGCCCGGAGGAUCCAGGCUGAGUACAUCAGUGCCAUGAAGCUGCUUCGCAAGCGUUCAAAGGUGUGGAGACCAAAGGUCAUGCGCAUCUCCGCCAAAACCGGGGAGGGCAUCUCGGAUAUGUGGGAUAAAAUGACCGAGUUCCGCGACCUCAUGCUCACGAGCGGCGAGCUGCUUGCCAAACGACGGAAACAGCAGAAAGUGUGGAUGUGGAACCUCAUCCAGGAAAACAUGCUGCAGCAUUUCCGGAGUCACCUGGCAGUCAAGGAUAAGAUCCCACUUCUGGAAGAAAAAGUUCUUACAGGAGUCUUGUCUCCUGGGCUGGCAGCAGACCUGCUGCUGAAGGCAUUCAAAGAUGGUCUCUAAGCAUUGUUUUCUACUCUGUUCUUGAUGAGUGCUUUAUGUAAACAUGAACAUUAAAUACACUUUUUCUAUUUGUGGAUUCAGAUGUUUUGCUGCAGCAGAAAUGAAUAGAAAACCUAUCCAGUACUCUGCAGAAGAAUUCUGUUGGAUUCUGUAUAUGCAGUGAUCAUGACAAAUCUAAACAUUCACUAAGAGAUUACUACACCCUAUUGGAAAAAAAUAAAUUUCCAAAUCUCCUGUUUCUGCAUGCCAUAGAUCUGUUAAUAAAAACUGGAUGCCCAUGUUAAAAUGAUUAGGUCUGGGGAGGGCAGGAGAGCGAGGUUUGUGGUGGUGCAGGGUUUGAUUCUGGUUGUGGGGUCAUCUCAGAGCAGUUGACACUGCAGCUUUCCAUUCUAAUAUAGCAGCAGCUGUUGCCAGAACGGAUUGCAUUUUCUUUCCUCACCUUGAGUGACAGCAAGAACAUUGCACUGCCUGACAGCACCAGACCACAGCCUUAGUUUUAAAUAAAUUGUAUGCAUAUAAAUAGAACAUAGUGGUGUUUGGUCCCUCUUUGGAAGCUGUAGUUAGUUAUUACACACUGUAUAGUAGGAGAAAGGCAUUUUAACCAUCCGGUUUCAAAAUAGAUGUUUUAUUAAAAAGCAAAAUGUAGUUAGACUUUUUUUUUACAUGCAGACAUCAGAUUGGAUAAAUGUUACCCAUGAUGUUUUAAUAGCAGAUGUCUUUAUACUAGAAUAACUUGUCUCUAAAAAUAAUGUUUUGUGGUUUUCUGAUCUGACUUACAUUUUUUGGAUUCAAACAAAAUGGCCAGUUGUGUUUGGUAUUUUUUUCUUUAUCUCUUGCAGAAGACAGGACUGCUUCCAACCGAAAGCGCUUUUAUUUUCUACUUUCCCUUGAGAAAAAUCUGGAGGAAACAUUUUCCUGAUACAUAGUCUAGAAGACAGAGCUCAUCUGGUACCCACUAAAUGUGAAGGAUAAAGUGGAAAAGUGCUGAUUUUUGGAGAUCUGACAGUAAAACCAGUAAAAUAGGAGAAUUUUUGAGAUAAAUUAAUUUUAGAUUUUAGAUAAAUUAAUUUAAAAAGAAUUAUAUUGCAAGUGAUAAUUUUCACAGUUUUGAUUUUCUGGACAUGUAUGUAAAAGGUAUGGUAACUUCAGCUCAGUUUCACCUGUUUGGCUUCUGGCAACCUAAUUCCAGUAUAGCAGUGAAUUGGGUUACUUAAAUCCUCUUCUUACCUUCAUGGUGUUUGUUUUUGUUCAGGAUUUUUUUUCCCCUCAAAAUAUUUUUUCCUCUUCAUUCCCCUUGUCCCAGUUGUUAUAUUGCGAUCCCGGCUUUUGCCCGCCGGGCGCUGUUUGCAGUGAAACACUAAGGAGGGGCAUUGUGCCAUACAGCUGAGGUGUUUCUUUGGUAAGAAAGUUUGCACUGGGGUAGCUGGUUUGAGUGGUGUCCACAACCUAAAUUGUCAGAACAUCUGAGCUCUGACCGCUUACUCCUGUUUCUUAAUUGCUGCUUUGGGGUUGCUGCAGUCAGUUACAAAGAGGCAGCUGAAAGACUGUAUGGAGUGGCAGAAGCACAGUGACUUUAUGACCAUGCUGAAUUGUGGGAGAAAUGCAGUGCUUACAGUUUCUUUUUUAUUUAAACAACCUCUAUUGAAUAUGACAGAGAGUGCCAUGAACCAAGAGCAACGUCAUGUGUCCUUUGAGUCCUUUCAGCUUUAAGUACUGACUGUAUUUUAUGGUACCUCGUAGAAGAAAUGACAGUCAGGUGGGGAACAAAUUAAUGAGAGCAGCAGCUUUUUAACCAGUGAGUUCUCAGUUUUUUGAUAGUCCCUUUGUUUCAGGUGGCAGCUUUUGAGGUGACCUCAUUUGUGUUUAUCUGUUAGAUCAAACCCUUAUUAUGGUCAUUGCUUCUUCUGUCAGGACUGCUGUUUUCCUUGUCUGUUAUACAUGAGCUGCCAAGCAAGUAAAACAGAACCUGCAGCUUUGUUUAAAUGACACCUGCUCAAGCAGAAUAUGUUUUACAGCUCCUUCAGUAUUUCUUUCCUGGAUGCAGAUCUACUGAUCCACUCAAGCCGUGGGCUAUCAUUAUUUUCUCAUUUUGUUGCUUCUUUUAUAAUAUUGUUAAUUUAAAAAUGAACUCUUAGCAGAAGUACAAUGGCUUAAGCAGGUUCUUCAAACUGCAUUUUCCUUUUAAAGCAGAGCAUUAAAUGAAAAUCUGAUUUGCCUUCUUUAUGUGUUCAGUUAUGCCUCAUGCUUCAGUAGAUGGAGAAAUAUCCGUAUAUUGAAAGGAGACUUUGGAAAUGAAACAGUAAGUCAGGGUUCCUGUUUUGUUUUUCAGUGAUUCCCCUACCAAAUUGAAAAGCUGUCCUGUGCAAACUAUGAACUGAGCCUUCCAUGUGGUAGUGAAAUAGUUUGUUUUACAGCCUGUAAAAUUUUGCUGUGGUGUGUUUUGGAGUCAGCUGCUGCUCAGUUAAUUGUGCAGUUUUGUUCAUGUUCUUGAGGGCUUGGCAGAUGCAUUGUCUUCAGAAGGACUGCAGAGCUUCAGCUGGUCGGCUGCAACUCCAUAAACAAUCCACUAUGUCCCAAGAUAGGGAAGAAUGUUUCCAACUCAUCAUUUUUAGCUCUGUGGGAUUAACUUGGCUAAAAUGCAUUAAAAUAUUGUUAUUCAAGUAAACAGGCUUCUGAAAAAAGAUAGUAAACAAAUCUGUUGAGUAGGAUGUUGACAUAUUCUUAGUUUCUGGAGUUGUGAAGCUGCUGUCAUGUUAACACUUAAACCCACAGCUAUUGCAGAAUAGUAUGGGAAAAUGAUAUAACUUCAUGAGAAGCCAAUAGCAAGAGCAGGUUUGUAGCUGGCAGUAUGACAAACUGUUAGACAAAUGAGUUAGGGAGAUAAGGAAUAAACUGUUCAGGUACACAAAGUCAUUUUCUACAAAGUCUUGCAGUUGUCUGUAAGUCUGAAACUUCUCCCCAGGUCCCUGUGUAAUAGAUGUUGCUGGUGUUUCACAGCUGGCAAAAACAAGUGUGGUGAGAUCAAGUGAUUUACCCAGGACUCUGAAACAGGUCAUAGAGUAUAAGGGUCACAGUUCAAUAGUCUUUACUCUGAGCCCCACAUAUAUUUACAGCCACGUUACUUAAGGUUGAAAAAAUGCUCUUAGCAAGUUCAUGCUCUUAGUGUGACUUAUUCCUUUCAUAUCUAAUCUCUCUGUUUUCAGUGACAGGACCCAGUGACCCCUUCUUGACUACUGUUCUGUUGUAAUGUCCUGCUUUAAGUAAUAAAAAACUUUCCUUUGAUAUCUAAUCCGUCCUCCCUUCUGUAAAUGCAUUACUUCCUGUUGUGCAUGCUGCUUCAGCCUUUAUGUUCUCCUCACAUAUAUUUCUUAUUUGUGAAAUCUGCAGUGUGUUGGCUGUUUGAGAUUUUGGGCCAUGGGAGUUGAGUAAAGCUAGAGAAUAUAAAGGAACUUUUUUUUUUUUUUAACUGUAUGCAGUUCCCUUCCUAAAGUUUUCUUUUGUAAUGUGGCAAGAUUCAAUUACUGACUUGCUCUGUACUGGUACAAACACCCUUAUUUCCUUUUUAUUUUCCUUUCUCAGAGUGCUCUGUUGCUUCCCCUUGGAUGCUCAGUCAAAAAGUAACAUACUCCAUGAGUUAAAAUGAGAAAAACUUUUUCACAGAGUUUAGUGCUUCUGUAACUAUUGCUGCUGGACUGUUCUAAAACAUUUAUAAUUUGAUGAAAGAUUGAACAAAAGUUGGUAAAGAAUGUAUUUAAGGAAAUAUUAGUGUGUUCCCCUGAAAAGUUGGACAGUCAUCAGUGCACAGACUGCCUAGCAACAGGAUUCCUCUUCCAAAAACCUACUACUCCACAGUUCAGCUACUCCACAGUCAUACUCCUUAUAGUUUAUUUAAAAGUAGCCCACCCCCCUCAUAAUGGAACAUCAGCAGCAUUUGUAAAUUGAGAAUAAAAAUUGCAAAAUUAAGAACUCAGAAGCAAUUAGAGUCCAUACUUAGAAUGGAAGAAUGACAGACAUACUCUGUUCCCUGCUGUCAUACUAAGGUAUUGUUCAGCUGAUGAACAAGGAAGGAAAAGAGGGGCUGACAUUCCUGACAGUGCAUGGAGAAGGUACAUUAUGGAGCAGCAAGAGGAAUGCAUAUUUUUCUGUAUUUUUCCUCCCAUGGGAGCAUAUGAAUUACCUUGGAUAAUUCACUGUGAAGCCCCAGAAACUGAUGUGACUGACAGUGUUUGCUGUGUGAGGCUUACAAAAUUAUAAAUUCAACUCCUGUUCCUAUGUUUUGGAUUUGUGUGUUGCAUGGGACCAUGCGAUGCUUGUCCUUUGGCAAUAGGUGGGUUUGUUUGCAAUUUUGCUUGAAGUGGGGAAUAGUUAGUUCUUGUAGUUUGAGUAAAAGAUUGUUUACUUGUAACGACUUAAAAGCUUCACCUUUCAGAAUGCAUGAUAAGAUUGCUGUACUCUUCCUUAAAAUACUGUAGCAAAGUGAGUUCCGGCUCUGUGUCACUAUGUCUUCAUUUCCUCUUACAUCUCUUCCACUGUUAGAGUAGCCUAUAAAAGCUUUAGUUAUGCACCUUUUAACAUGACUCAAAUAUUCAUGAAGUUAAUCAGGGGCUGACCACAUUUCUUUGUUUCUUCAAUUGAAAGUGACCACUACAACCUAAAGAUUGCAACCCAUGAGAAGCCAAAGGCUAUGACAGCUUCAGAGGCCUGGGCUGACCUGCCCUGUGCAGGCUGCAAUGGCUGGGGAUGCCGGUGUGUGUCUAAUGAGAAGUUGCUGCAUGAGCUGCGUGGCUGGGAGCAGUGCACACUCACACUGCUAAAGGUUUUCUCCCGGCCCUGAAUCUGUGAUCCUGUUUGUAGUUCUCUAAUUGCAACCAGCAGAAGACAAGGGUGAUGUUGGUUUUUAUGACUUGUUGCUUAGCAGCGUUGAUCAACAAAAGCACAACCUUUUCUUUUGCUGUAACCUCGGUGAACCCGGGCCUGGACGGAGCUCACCAGCGGGGAACAAGGGUUUCUGAAGCCGUGUGAAACUCCCGUGCUGUGCCUUGUUAGCAGUGUCUGAGAGAAAGCAUCUCUUCUUGACCUCUUGGUUACCUUUGCCCUUUACUCCUCUAUCUCUCUCUCUCAUCAAAUCUUACAAGAAAGCAGGCACCGUCCUAGGAGGAUUUGGAGGAUGGGAAAUACAGGGACGAGUCAACUAUACUAAGAUGUAUCCUGCCUCUUUUCAGGAAAAGGAGAUAAGCUGGUUCCCAGACUGUGAUGUCAGACCCUCCUCUCAAGGAAGGAGAAAGACUUCAGCUGUCACAGUAAGGUCUAUUCUUAUUUAGAGAAGCUUUCUUUUCGAAGCAGGCAAAAUAAUCCAUAGAGGAAAUGGAAAUUAGGGUGGCUAAGAAUUUCUUGGUUUACGUCUUUUAGAAGGGAUUUCACAAACUGAACCAGAAGUGGUAUUGAACAUGGUUGAAAAUGAUUGAGGGUGUGCCUUUAUCUGAUCACAUCUGGCAAAGCCUGUAAAAUAAGAGCAAGGAGUAAGUUGCUUGUUUCACCUUAACUCUAAACUGUAAAUUGAUAGUCUGGCCAAAGGCUCUUUAGUGACACCAGAAGCUGCAACAUUUAAUGUGCCUUACCACAUCAGAAAGCUUAGAUCAGGAGCUUUACUGUUGCUCAGAUGCUUGUCUUUUACACCUCGAUCUGAGUAAGAAAUAGCUGAGUAUUUGUAUACUUUUUCUGCCAGAAAUAUUGUUAUCCUGAGCCACCUUUAUGCUCAUGGACACUAGGUCACUGUACCUUGCCAGUGUGGUGGUUUUCUCCUUUCUACCCUGUCCCCCCCACCACUGACUUCUCCCCUCUAUUCAUUGUUGUUUUUUCAGAGCACUACAGGUCAAUGUGUUAAAAGGUCACCGUGUGUUUCACAAGCCUGUUAUGCUCUGGUGUCCCUCCUCAUCUGAAGUUUAAAGAGAAGCUCUGCUGUUCAGCUAUCCCAAUCUUGGUAAAAUUCAUGGAGAGGACCUAUAUUGCUGAAACUGCUUAACUGAGAUCAGAUAGAUGAGCUGUUCAUUCCAGAACAGGCAGCUGCAUAAGAAACUGGCUCUGCCCUACGUGCCAUGUAAAAAGCAUGGCAAGUGCGUGGUAUCUGGCAGAGCUCAAUCAAGUAAAAUAAUCAGCAAAUAGUAAUGGGAAUUACGUUGCAAAUAUUGUUCUUUUUUAUUUAUAUUGCACCAAUCUUAACAAAAUUAUCUACCUGGAAAUCCUGACUGCUGUCUGAGGCUGAGAAGAAUGACUUUUCAUGCCCUUGCUUGAUGAACAGAGCAAAUUGUGUUCACCCAAACAGGAUUUCUUUAUUUUGAGCUGUGAGUAUGAUUUGUCUGUCUUCACUGAACAACAGCUGCUAAAAUCUGAUAUCUGCGGGACUCAAAACAAGAGGCUGAAAUAAUGUUCUUAACUUCUGAUUUACAGGAGAAGUGGGGAACUCUGGUUAAGAUCAAUAAGCUUUUAGAAACAGUUUCAGGAAAAGUGAAAAAACCCCUUUUUUAUGAGUGGUAUGAUGCAGCAUUUGUAACCUGACUGGUUCUUUCUGUGUGCAGUGGCAAUAGGAACUGAUUAGAUUAGAAAACUAAUGUUUCAGACUUCAAAUAUUGUUGUCCUUCACUUUUCCUUUUCACUAUCCAUUAGAACGUGACAUUCUUAGAAAUGAAGGAGUCUUCAGUGUGGGCCUCUUUAAUACUGUCAUUUCCACACCUGCAACAAUGGAGCAGAGCAUGGCUACUGUACAGCACCAGUAGGACUAAAAGCCACCGAGUGCUUUAUUUCUGUACUGACAUUAAAGAGUUAUUUUGAAUUAUGAUGUGUUGAAAGUCCCAGUUUCAUGUCUUGCACAUUGCACGUGGCUUUCAGUUUAGCUGGAGACGCUGCUCCAGACACUCAUUUUCACCACACACAAUUCCUUCCAUGUUAGAAAUGCUGCUGGCUCCUCCACACCCUGAGGUCAGGAGAGGUCAGCAGUGGAGCAUGUGCCUACAUGUGAUGGAAUAAGGUCCUAGAAUAAAGGCUGCCUGAGGUUUGUCCUGCUGGGCAGGUCAGUUUUCCUUUUUUGGGGUGGUAAACUUCAUAUGCAAUGAGACAGGAAAUUUCAGAGGGAAACUGGGAUAAUUAAAAUAAUCUUCUCUGGCCCAUUGCCAAUUCUUUCAUCUCAGAAAACAUUGCUGUAGAGACAGGCACAGAUCUUGUAAACUAGUCUAGUCUGAAUAGCUGUCCUUAACAUUUUUGAACAUUGAGCCUUAGUGAACAUCUAACACGCAAGGGCAUUUCUGUGGGGCAGUUUGAAUACUUUUGCUUUCAUAGUUUCAGGUUUUUUUUCUUUAUUGGUUGUUCCUUGAGAUUAAGGCUGGACUAAGUGGGUCUUCAGGUUAGUGUGGUAUUUCCAUAUGUAGAUUGCAUCACAAAACCACUCCAGAAAAAGAUAUUUUUAUGAGCAAGACUUGUAUAAAUUAUGGAGAAAAAUUUGCCUGGAAAGGCUGAAAUAGAGAUUUAAAUUCUGCACAAGCUGGAUAGAAUUAAAGCUACUCUUGUUUUUCAGUUUCUAAAUCUUGAAGCAAUAAUAUUUUCUCCUCCUGUGCUUAAUCUAGAGUGUUUGUAACAAACCACCUUGUCUGUAUGCCAGGAGAUUGCCACAGAGAGAAACAAAUUGCUGCUGAUGACAGAGGAAAAGCGUCUCCAGAAAGUCCCUUUCAGGCAGCUUGUCAUGAGAUGAUGUGAGGGACGUGGCAGUCUUACAUUGGAAGCAAGAGAAUUGAUUUGAGUUUGUUAUGGCACUGCAACUUGUUACAACAAGCAGUCUGCCCCCUGCAAGAGCAGAGCAAGAGGAGAGCAGGUCUGUGCACUUCUGCUGGGGUGGAAGUUCUCUGGCUUUCAGUGUUUGCACAGUGAAUUCAAUGUCAACAUACAUACAGACAGCAGAUCUCAGAGGAGUCCGAGGUAAGUAGCCUGGCUUUUUGAAGUUUCUAGAAAGAGCUGCAGAGUUAAGGGAUUUCUUCUGAGUUUUUGGCCUGUCAUGAACUGGCAGAUGACAUGGGAGGAGGUAGUCCCUGGUCAUUUGGCAGUGCCAAGAGCAAGCUUUGAACCAUGCAAACUUCUGUCAGGUUAGGAAACAUUCCCACUAGACAUUUCAGAGUCCUGGCCUCUUGGCUGCCACUGACAGUUUUGGGUGAUCUUUUUAUUUAUAUCUGGUCACUACUAUUGAGUUGUCUCAGUUCCUCUCUUAGGCUAGCCCAAGAGACUGAAAAAGUUCAAUGGGAAACAGAUUUUCUGAACAGUGCAAAACCAUACCCCAUGUGUUUUCUUUUGGCUCUCUAAAUGUGGAGGAUUCUUGAAGUCUCUACCACCAAAUAAGGGCCUGGAUCUUGACAAGCUAUUGAUUAGGUGACAGAAAAAACUAAUGACAACACUCAUGUGACUUGGGCUGAAUGGCAAAUACAAAAGUUGAGUGCAGUUAUUAGUUUUAAUAGACUAAGCCACAGGAUAGUAACAGUGUGAAGAUGGGGAAGAAGACUGGCCUGGCUGCAUAGGGAGCCUUUGGUGAACUCAGGGAAAAGAAAUAAUUUCUGACCUUUAGAAGAAGAGGCAGACAACUCAGGAAAAGUACAAGGAUGUCAUUAGGUCGUGUAGAGAGAAAAAUAGAAAGGUGAAAGCUCAGCUGCAACUCAAUCUGGCCUUCCCUGUGAAUGAUAAUAACAAAGUGUCUUACUAAUUUCAUUAAUAACAAAAGGAGGGCCUUGGAGGUCUUUUCCUACCUUAAUGAUUAUAGGAUUCUGUGAAAUACAUUUAUCCAUGAAACAUGAUACCCUAAUUUUUGUGAAGUACCUAAAUUCACCCUCAGUUAUAUUUUCCUGGUUGGAGUUGCUGGAGGACUGAAUUUCCUGGCUCUGACUUAGAGAAAUCUGUCACUUUGAGUAGGAAUGAAACUUGACUGAUUCAAUCUUAUCACAGUAUCACCAUAUAAAUGGAUCUUAUUUAUUUUUAAUUGAAAUGUCAACUUAAAAGAUGCAGUGCAUAUUUUUAAAUCACACUGACAUUAUAUUUAGAUAUUUUCAUUAAGUUCUGGGUAUGCAGUCCCAUUAAAAAUAGGGAGCUAAGUAUAAAACCAUGAAGUCUUAAUGCUUGCUUACUAAAUAUUCAGAGUGCAAGUGGGCACUGCUCUGGUAACACCUGUGAAUAGAGCUAUUCUGGUACAUUUAAAAAGUGUCACUGGCAUGAGUGACAGCCACCAAUGUAUUCAUAGUACUUCAGAACCCUGCGGAUGGAAGGAGCUUUCCUGCAACUAUUUAUCUUUACUUACAUUCCUGUUCCAUUUAAAAUGUUUUUCUCUGUUUCAGGAAAGAAAGGUCCAGUGAUUUUUAUUGUUAAAACAAGCACUGCCUCUAACUCUGCUGGAAUGCAACUGCACACUGUGUACUGGAAGUCUGGAUGCCAGGGAAGUGUUAAUCCCUGCAGUCGAGGAAUACCAGACGUGAUAUUUCGUUUGUCUAAAUUUGUUUUUCUGGUUCUAGCCCUGAGCAGGGCCUAGGCCAGGCUCACGUGGUAAAUUGUGGCAACUUGAGGCAGUGGGAGCACACUGUUAGAAACCUGCUGCUGUUCAUUGAUGCAGUCUAGCACCUAUGGCUCCAAAGUCCUCCUCACCCACGUGUGAGCACCUUAGUUAGGGCCUUGACCCUCCCACCUGGCUUCCUGGUAAAUCUCUUAAAAACCAAAUUCUUCGGCCUGGCGUGUGAAUGAACAUUCCAGGCUUAAAUAGCAGGGAAAGAAUCAAGAAAGUAUUUGAUGCUUUGUUGACCAGCCAGGAAGGAAGGCCUAUGUUUGGGUUUGGUCACUUUAGGCUGUGCUGCAAACGUUGGCAUGAAGGUCUAGGGGCUCAGUGAGAGAACAUUUUUCUCUUCUUUAUUUAAACAGGCACAUUCCCAGAAGAGUAACAAUCCAAAGUUUACACUUCCAGUGAAAUGCUGUCUGAGAAGUGCUGGAAAAAGAAAGCUACAGUGUGGGCAGGAAGAGAGAGAGACACCACAUCUUCUUGAGAGACACCAACUCUCUGUCAAAGCUUUUCUUUCAGCUAAGGAGUCAGCAGCAAAAGAGAAGCAGUGAAUUCCAACACCCAGCAACAUGCACAAGGUACUGAUAAAGGCCCUGAAAAUUAAUAUUCGCACCUCAGGAGAGUAGAAAUAACUGUUAAGAAGUUUUUUUCAGUUGAGUAGACUGCCCUAACACUGCCCUAACUGCAGGAAAAAGGCAGUCCACAUGUAUUUAAUGUUAAUAUUAAUAUAGAUGAGGAUAAUUCUUAUCUAAUGAACACCCAGAUUAUUUUCUUUUCUUGGUUAGUGUUUAAGUAGUCUAACUUCCUUUUAGGAUGUUGAGUAUCUUGUUCAGUGGAGUCAAUAGUACCUUUGCUUCUUGGAAAUUUGUCUGCUCUUAGGGUUUCCUUCUUUAAUGUCCUCCGUGCAUUUUAAUUGUUCCAAUAAUCUCUGGUUAAAAAAACAGGUUUUUCUAAAAUGCUGAUAAAAUGAGUACACAAUAUUUUUACAAUUAAAAAGAACUUAUUUUCGUGACAA